rnacentral:rRNA from 1 species
GCUCAGGAUGAACGCUGGCGGCGUGCUUAACACAUGCAAGUCGAACGAUGAAGGGAGCUUGCUCCUGGAUUAGUGGCGAACGGGUGAGUAACACGUGAGUAACCUGCCCUUAACUCUGGGAUAAGCCUGGGAAACUGGGUCUAAUACCGGAUAUGACUCCUCAUCGCAUGGUGGGGGGUGGAAAGCUUUUUGUGGUUUUGGAUGGACUCGCGGCCUAUCAGCUUGUUGGUGAGGUAAUGGCUCACCAAGGCGACGACGGGUAGCCGGCCUGAGAGGGUGACCGGCCACACUGGGACUGAGACACGGCCCAGACUCCUACGGGAGGCAGCAGUGGGGAAUAUUGCACAAUGGGCGCAAGCCUGAUGCAGCGACGCCGCGUGAGGGAUGACGGCCUUCGGGUUGUAAACCUCUUUCAGUAGGGAAGAAGCGAAAGUGACGGUACCUGCAGAAGAAGCGCCGGCUAACUACGUGCCAGCAGCCGCGGUAAUACGUAGGGCGCAAGCGUUAUCCGGAAUUAUUGGGCGUAAAGAGCUCGUAGGCGGUUUGUCGCGUCUGCCGUGAAAGUCCGGGGCUCAACUCCGGAUCUGCGGUGGGUACGGGCAGACUAGAGUGAUGUAGGGGAGACUGGAAUUCCUGGUGUAGCGGUGAAAUGCGCAGAUAUCAGGAGGAACACCGAUGGCGAAGGCAGGUCUCUGGGCA